GACGAGCGCUGGCGGCGUGCUUAACACAUGCAAGUCGAACGGAAAGGCCCUGCUUUUGUGGGGUGCUCGAGUGGCGAACGGGUGAGUAACACGUGAGUAACCUGCCCUUGACUUUGGGAUAACUUCAGGAAACUGGGGCUAAUACCGGAUAGGAGCUCCUGCUGCAUGGUGGGGGUUGGAAAGUUUCGGCGGUUGGGGAUGGACUCGCGGCGUAUCAGCUUGUUGGUGGGGUAGUGGCUUACCAAGGCUUUGACGGGUAGCCGGCCUGAGAGGGUGACCGGCCACAUUGGGACUGAGAUACGGCCCAGACUCCUACGGGAGGCAGCAGUGGGGAAUAUUGCACAAUGGGCGGAAGCCUGAUGCAGCAACGCCGCGUGCGGGAUGACGGCCUUCGGGUUGUAAACCGCUUUCGCCUGUGACGAAGCGUGAGUGACGGUAAUGGGUAAAGAAGCACCGGCUAACUACGUG
rnacentral:rRNA from 1 species